rnacentral:lncRNA from 1 species
AGAAAGGACGGCUCCACCAUUGUAAACAUGAGACAAGCAAUCAAGGGAAUAUGAAGAAUAAAAAGAAGAAAAAAAUGUUUGCACUAAAAAUUCAUUUGGUCGUGUCCAUGGAGAUAGUAUCCACUAGUCUCCUAAACAAAUAGAUAUUGUCCAUAUAGUCAAAUUAUCGUCACCAUUAUAUAGGAUAGACCACCCAAAAUCCUGCUAAUCAAAACGAAGGAUUCAAUCAUUUAAAAAGUCAAGCAAUUACAGAGUCCAAUUAAGGUCUGAACUAGAUUCUUCCUGAAACUAUUAACAAUACCUGGGAACAGCAUCAAUUGUUGAGUAAGACGAAGCUGCCAAGAUGAUUUUUUGUUAUGCAACAACCUCUGUCAAACGACCUCCACCGAACGAAGAGUUUCUGAAAUUAAAAACACAACCUGAACUCCUGCUCAGAUGGGACAGUUAUACGAUCCACUUAUCUUACUUUUCUUCGAUUCGAAAAUUUGAACUCUCGUCCAUGAGUUUUGAUCGUCUAUGGCGUUUCCGAAAUUUUGGGAACAGAGAGCGGUGAAAAUAAAAAUGAUGGGAAAAUUGUUAUGCGAUAUAUUAAUGAGGGGAAUUGUUGUACUUACACACAGAAAAAAAAUGGAUAAAGUACCUUAAUAGCAAGAAGUGUCUUUUUUAGUAAAGAAAGUAAAGAAAUUGCCUUUUAUUGUAAUUCAAC